rnacentral:sRNA from 1 species
GGGAAUUCCGACAUGUUCAAGGGAGAUGAUGUGACAUACAAUCUCUUUGUCCAGUUUCUUGCAACCGAGUAUGAUCAAUUGAAUUUGACUGCUAUGUGUGAGCACAUGGAGGAGAUGGCUUUUGAGUUACAUCCUGAUUCUUUCC